rnacentral:rRNA from 1 species
CAGCAGCCGCGGUAAUACGUAGGUGGCGAGCGUUGUCCGGAAUCAUUGGGCGUAAAGGGAGCGCAGGCGGGCAUGUAAGUCUUUCUUAAAAGUGCGGGGCUCAACCCCGUGAUGGGAAAGAAACUACAUGUCUUGAGUACAGGAGAGGAAAGCGGAAUUCCCAGUGUAGCGGUGAAAUGCGUAGAUAUUGGGAGGAACACCAGUGGCGAAGGCGGCUUUCUGGACUGCAACUGACGCUGAGGCUCGAAAGCCGGGGGAGCGAACGGGAUUAGAUACCCCCGUAGUCCCUGUCUCUUAUACA